CAUGUAGGCGGUCCGGCAAGCUUGGUGUGAAAUCCCGUGGCCCAACCACGGAACUGCAUUGAGAACUACUGGGCUAGAGUGAGCGAGGGGGGAGCCGGAAUUCCAGGUGUAGGGGUGAAAUCUGUAGAUAUCUGGAAGAACACCAAUGGCGAAGGCAGGCUUCCAUCGCAUGACUGACGCUGAGGUGCGAAGGUGCGGGGAGCAAACA
rnacentral:rRNA from 1 species